rnacentral:rRNA from 1 species
UUUUUUAGAAGAGAUGCAUUUAUUAGAUAAAAAAUCAAUACAUGCUUUUAAAGUAUGGAAUUUGGUGAUUUACAAUAACUUAGCAAAUCGCAUAGUGAAAACAGGCGAUAAAUCAUUCAAGUUUCUGACCUAUCAGCUUUCGACGGUAUGGUAUUGGCUUACCGUGGCAGUGACGGUUAACGGGGGAUUAGGGUUCGAUUCCGGAGAGGGAGCCUGAGAAACGGCUACCACAUCUAAGGAAGGCAGCAGGCGCGCAAAUUACCCAAUUCUAACAGCAUAAGAGAGGUAGUGACAAGAAAUAACAAUACAAGGCAGUUAAAAUGCUUUGUAAUUGGAAUGAUAGAAAUUUAAACACUUUUUAAAGUAUCAAUUGGAGGGCAAGUCUGGUGCCAGCAGCCGCGGUAAUUCCAGCUCCAAUAGCGUAUAUUAAAAUUGUUGCAGUUAAAAAGCUCGUAGUUGAAUUUCUGCUAAAAAUAACCGGUCUGCUUUUAAUAAAGGUGGUAUCUUGGUGUGUUUUUAGCAAUAAUGUCCUUUGAAAUGUUUUUUACUUCAUUGUAAUAAAUUAUAUUCAGGAUUUUUACUUUGAGAAAAUUAGAGUGUUUCUAGCAGGCUAAUGCUUUGAAUA